rnacentral:rRNA from 1 species
GAUGAACGCUAGAGGCAGGCCUAACACAUGCAAGUCGAGGGGUAACUAGAGUGAUAGCAAUAUUACUUUGGCUAGACCGGCGCACGGGUGCGUAACACGUAUGCAACCUACCUUAUACUGGGGAAUAACUUCGAGAAAUCGGCGCUAAUACCCCAUAACAUUGCGAAGAGGCAUCUCUUUGCAAUUAAAGCUCCGGCGGUAUAAGAUGGGCAUGCGUCCAAUUAGCUAGUUGGUGAGGUAACGGCUCACCAAGGCUACGAUUGGUAGGGGUUCUGAGAGGAUGAUCCCCCACACUGGUACUGAGACACGGACCAGACUCCUACGGGAGGCAGCAGUGAGGAAUAUUGCGCAAUGGACGAAAGUCUGACGCAGCCAUGCCGCGUGCAGGAUGACGGCCCUAUGGGUUGUAAACUGCUUUUGUACGGGAAUAAACCCUUCUACGUGUAGGAGGCUGAAGGUACCGUAAGAAUAAGCACCGGCUAACUCCGUGCCAGCCGCCGCGGUAAUAC